CACCAAACUAAUAUUAAGUCUGGUACAUAAAUUUUCUAUUCAUGAACUGACAAUAUUUCUUCUAUGUGGAAUACACAAGAUCUCCUCAAUGGGCCAUGAUGCAGGCAUCGCCGCAGGAAAUACUUGGCGCACCGAAGAACCUGUACUGUUGGAUUUGUCGAGAGAGGACUGAGGGAACACGCCAACGUUAGGGUGGCGGAUGCAAGUAUUGGAGUUCAGCCUAAAAUCACAAGAGAAUGGAUCAAAAUGAAUUCAGAUUGACUUCUAAUCAUUUAUCAAGCUAUAAAAGUUAGAACUGAUGUUACACAAACUGAGGCAUUUUUUAUAUGAACAACUCACGUAAUUUGUAUAGUACCACUGUUUUUUCAUUCUCAUGAACAAAUAACCAUAGACUAAUGAGAGAAUGUAUUACUCGAUAGUAG
rnacentral:lncRNA from 1 species